UAAUACGAAGGGUGCGAGCGUUAUUCGGAAUUAUUGGGCGUAAAGGGUUCGUAGGCGGGAUUGUAAGUCAAGUGUGAAAUCCCCGAGCUUAACUCGGGACGUGCAUUUGAAACUGUGAUUCUUGAGUCAUUGAGAGGGUGGUGGAAUUGUUGGUGUAGGAGUGACAUCCGUAGAGAUCAACAGGAACAUCAGAGGCGAAAGCGGCCACCUGGCAAUGUACUGACGCUGAGGAACGAAAGCGUGGGGAGCAAACAGGAUUAGAUACCCUGGUAGUCCACGCCAUAAACGAUGAUAACUAGGUGUUGGGGGAGUUGACCCCCUCAGUACCGUAGCUCACGCGCUAAGUUAUCCGCCUGGGGAGUACGACCGCAAGGUUA
rnacentral:rRNA from 1 species